AGUGGUGGCCAUAUCGGCGGGGUUCCUCCCCGUACCCAUCCUGAACACGGAAGAUAAGCCCGCCAGCGUCCGGCAAGUACUGGAGUGCGCGAGCCUCUGGGAAAUCCGGUUCGCCGCCAC
rnacentral:rRNA from 1 species